AUUGAACGCUGGCGGCAUGCCUUACACAUGCAAGUCGAACGGCAGCAUGGAGGGCUUGCUCUCUGAUGGCGAGUGGCGAACGGGUGAGUAAUGCAUCGGAACGUACCGUGUAAUGGGGGAUAACGUAGCGAAAGUUACGCUAAUACCGCAUACGACCUGAGGGUGAAAGCAGGGGAUCGCAAGACCUUGCGUUAUACGAGCGGCCGAUGUCAGAUUAGCUAGUUGGUGAGGUAAAGGCUCACCAAGGCGCCGAUCUGUAGCGGGUCUGAGAGGAUGAUCCGCCACAAUGGGACUGAGAGACGGCCCAGACACCUGCGGGUGGCAGCAGUGGGAAAUUUUGGACAAUGGGGUCAACGCUACACCAGCCAUGACGCAUGAGUCAAGAAGGCAUUCGGGUUGUAAACCUCUUUGAGUAGGCACGAAGCUUCCGAGGUUAAGAGCCUACGGGGUGACGGUACCUACAGAAGAAGCCCCGGCUAACUACGUGCCAGCCGCCGCGGUAA
rnacentral:rRNA from 1 species